GGUUAUCAGGCCCUGAGGCUGGAGUGGAAAGUCAUUGUUGCACACAUCAGUAAUUCUGAUUCUUGUGGAUGAGGAAAACUGUCUAUUGUCUUUUGGGCAGAGCCGCUAUGGAUGGUGUUUUAGCAGCCUUCUACGUGAUUUCCCCCUGCGAAUGUCCCAACUCUUCUGCAGAGAAACAUGCCUGUCAUCUCAUUCUGAGGCAAAGAGAAGAGACAAGAAGGGAAAGUCACAGACUCCAUAUGCAGGAGGCAGUGCUUGAAUUGCACUUUUCAGGUACCGUGGGCAGAGGUGUGGUGGUUUGAAGGAGAAGUGACCUCCAUCUGCUUAUGGGUGUGAAUACUUGGUUCCCAGUAGUGGCACUGUCUGAGAAGGCUCUGGAGCCUUUAGGAGG
rnacentral:lncRNA from 1 species